CGUGUGUGAGAGGUCUUCGGAUUGUAAAGCUCUUUUCUUUUGGAGGAAGGGCAGUAAGUUAAUACCUUGCUGUUUUGACCUUUCCAACAGAAUAAGCACCGGCUAACUUCGUGCCAGCAGCCGCGGUA
rnacentral:rRNA from 1 species